rnacentral:rRNA from 1 species
CGGCGGACGGGUGAGUAACACGUGGAUAACCUACCUAUAAGACUGGGAUAACUUCGGGAAACCGGAGCUAAUACCGGAUAAUAUAUUGAACCGCAUGGUUCAAUAGUGAAAGACGGUUUUGCUGUCACUUAUAGACGGAUCCGCGCCGCAUUAGCUAGUUGGUAAGGUAACGGCUUACCAAGGCAACGAUGCGUAGCCGACCUGAGAGGGUGAUCGGCCACACUGGAACUGGGACACGGUCCAG